CAGGAGGUAGUUUAAUUAAAAUAAGGACUUUGGGAGUCUUUGAUGGUGGUCAUUAUCCUUCCUGA
rnacentral:tRNA from 1 species